UACACAGUUGUACCUUGUGAACCGUACCAAACUAUUCAGGGGUCGGCUUGUCCGUUAAAUGGUCGUCGGACGCGAGAGAUCGCGGCCGCUCGACCGGCCCCGCACGCGUUUUGUUUUUUAUAAACAUAUGUGUACCUGUCUGACCAAGCGUUGCGGCCGGCCCAAGGGUCGGUCGCAGCAAUUAGAGCAAAAAACGAGAUACAACUUUUGACGGUGGAUCUCUUGGCUCACGCAUCGAUGAAGAACGCAGCCAGCUGCGAUAAGUAGUGUGAAUUGCAGAAUUCAGUGAAUCAUCGAAUCUUUGAACGCAAAUGGCGCUCUUGGGUUCUCCCAGGAGCAUGUCUGUCUGAGUGUCGGAUAUCAUCCAACGCACGCCAGCGUGCGGAAUUGAGGCGUCACGGUCCGUACUGCACGGACCGUGUCCCUUGAAAGUCAGAGAGACUCGCCGCGUCGCGGGAAGAUUCCCCGUGCACACCAGCGGAGGCUAAAAUGUCUUUUGCCCUUCGCGUGCCGGGAAGUCGCCGCGUGCGGCGGUCGUCGUCGGGCGAUC
rnacentral:rRNA from 1 species